GAUGAAGAACGUAGUGAAAUGCGAUAAGUAAUGUGAAUUGCAGAAUUCAGUGAAUCAUCGAAUCUUUGAACGCACCUUGCACCCUUUGGCAUUCUGAAGGGUAUGCUCGUUUGAGUGUCAUUGUACUCUCACACUCCCGAUCUUUGCAUUGGGAGCAGUGGACUUGGGUUUGCUGCUUCACCGUCGCUUACCUCAAAUAGGUUAGUGCAUCUCUUGGUUGGACAUAGUACGGCGUGAUAAGUGUUCUUCGCCGGUGCCUCGCAAAGAGGGUGGCCGAUCGGGAUGUUGUGCUCCAAACCGUCUUCGGACAAUCUCUGACGACUUGACCUCAAAUCGAGUAAGACUACCCGCUGAACUUAAGCAUAUCAAUAAGCGGAGGA
rnacentral:misc_RNA from 1 species